rnacentral:rRNA from 1 species
CAAAGGUAGCGUAAUCAUUUGUCUAUUAAUUGUAGACCAGUAUGAAAGGCAAAAUGAAGGUCUAUCUGUCUCUUAUAAUAAAUCAAUUAAACUGAUCUCCUAGUAAAAAAGCUAGAAUACACACAUAAGACCAGAAGACCCUGUGAAGCUUUAACUAACCCAUUAAACCAUAUAAUGCCUACUUUCGGUUGGGGCGACCUUGGAAAAAAAAAGAACUUCCAAACAUGUGACCAUAACUCACUACAUCUUCAGGCCAACAAGCCUAAUAAUAUGACCCAGUACAACUGACCAUUGAACCAAGUUACUCCAGGGAUAACAGCGCCAUCUUCUUCAAGAGUCCAUAUCAAAAAGAAGGUUUACGACCUCGAUGUUGGAUCAGGACAUCCUAAUGGUGCAGCCGCUAUUAAGGGUUCGUUUGUUCAACGAUUAACAGU